CCAGGUUCUUCCCUAUCAUGGCUUUGUGAAGCCACUAAUCACCUACAGGUCAGUCCAGCUGGGAUAGAUUCAUCAGCCCCAGCUUCACCUACAGUUUUAUUCAUGGCCAUAAACAGAUUAACGUGAGGUCAGGGCUGCCGCGGUCCAGCAAAUGGAAAGGAAGAACCACUGUUAGGCUUCUUUAUACUCCUGGAAUGGAGCACAAGUAAUUCGUGUCUUUAAGAAAUAAAGCCAACACCCUGUUCAACAGUUCAAAAGCCUGUGAGGGCCCACAGUUUUGGAUCCAUUUAAUCUCAACUAAAGGUCAGAGAGUUCAAACUUAUUCUUGCUCCUCAAGGGUGAACAACAGGACAUUUGACCAAAGGUGCAGCUACUGGGCGUUUUUCCCCUCAAAAGCCAGAUAACAGGAUGUUUGACUCGGGCAUGGUUACCAGGUGGUUUGAGAUAUAAGGAGUUCACACUCCCCUUUUCAGGAAUGUAAGGACCUGUGGAGCCAGACCCAACAAAAGAUUCACUCUUUGUCCUGAUGGAAAAACAGUAUCUACUUCCCAGAAGCAAGCAGGGAAACAGUAACAAAGGGCCAAUGCCUCUUAUAGAAAAGGUCGUGGCAUCCCUGCCUUGAAGGAGAACUGCAGGCGUGUGGAAAGCACAAAUACCGUUCUCCUUAGGUGUAACCUAAGAAGGCGCUAAGGAUGCUGAGUUGAGGCACAUCUGUCUCCUGUGAGUACACACCUAAGCCUCUUGGCAAUGUGCGUCUUGCUGGAGGCUGUCUAUAGAGCGUGGCUCUGAUGGUACUGUAUGUGGGCAUCCUUGCCUCUCUGUUGCCGAAGACUCUCCCAUUUCCUGUGACAGUGUGGUGUCUAUUGUCACUGAAUAAAUAGCUCUGUGGUUUGGCCGGAA